GGUUGCUAAAGGAAGAAGGCAGCCUCGCGGGAAACAGGCCGAUUUGAAAACCAAAAAGGCUUUGUCCACAGGCUCAACCGCGCAGGAAGUUCCUGCGGCGCCGGAACCCCCCCCCCCCCAGUCACGGCCUCGCAACCAUAGCAACCGCGCUAGUCCCGUUCCCGCAACCACAGCAGCCGAGCAGGAAGUGCUUACGGCGUCGGUAACCCCCACUUGUCACGCCCUCGCAACCACAGCAACCGCGCAGGAAGUUCCUGUAGCGCCGGAAAACGCAACCCGUGGGGCGUUGCUGGCGUAGGAUUGACGGGCUCUGGGACUACGCUUCGGAGCCCGGGGAGAUCGGCUCCUGUAUCCUUCACGGGGUCCGCCAGGGCUUCCUUCCUUGCUGUUGGGAGCUGACGGCUGAGGGACGCGACUGCCCCAGCCGCGCCACGUUCGAGACUUGUGUCAGUCACCAGGCCAUUCUCCUCCUACCAAGCCAGGCGCUUUUUUUUUUUUUUUUGAGACGGAGUCUCGCUCUGUCCCCCCAGGCUGGUGUGCAGUGGCGCGAUCUCGGCUCACUGCAACCUCCGCCUCCCAGGCUUAGGCGAUUCUCUUGCCUCAGCCUCACGCAUAGCUGGGACUACAGGCACCCGCCACCAUGCCCGGCUAAUUUUUGUAUUUUUAGUAGAGGCGGGGUUUCACCAUAUUGGCCAGGCUGGUGUCGAACUCCUAACCGUGUGAUCCCCCCGCCUCAGCCUCCCAAAGUGCCCAAGCCAGCCUUUGCACACGCUUCCCACGUGACACACCCCCUGUACCCUCGCAGCCCUUACUCUAUAAAUCCUCUCUGGCGAUCUCAACGCCCACCCCCGGGGCUGACCAGGCUACUGCCAGAACCCCUAUGUCUUCAGGGGUCUCCUCCUGCCCACCUUCAUGCCCUUGGCCUCAGGAAAGACUGCGCCCCUCCACGAUGUGCAGUAAAGGAUGGGCGCCCUGCCUCUCAGGAGCUGAGCACUGAUGAGAAAAAAUGCCUUACUUAUUAUUGUACCUUUCUCCAUGACCAAGAGAGAUUGCUUCUCUCUUUCACUGUCAUCCUACCUCCAUUGCUAACAUACCCCCCAACAAUGCUAGGAACCCUCUUCCAUUUCAGUGGCCUACCCUAAGGAUUCAUCGAGAAGACAGAAGCAAUCCACUGGGAACUCUUAGGGCUUCCCAAGCCCGGUCUACCCGUGCCUGCCCUGGCAUUCUCUGCCGCCCUUCUGCAUACAGUGCUCCUAACUGAAGCCAGCUCCUCACCUCAGCUCAGGAUCCCAUACCUCCCACCUUCUCAGGGGCUUUGCUCCUGCAAUGAUCCCUCCUCCCUUCAAAGUCAUCAACUGCCCCCUCUACGUUGGAGCACUCCACAAGCAAAGGAGGAAAAACCCACCCUCUCCCCACAUGUCCUUCAGCAGCUGCUGGCACAGAAUGUGCUGCCCUUCAACAAAAACUGCCUGGAGUUCUGAGGCCACGGCCUCCUCAACUCCCUUCAAUAGGGCUUUUGUCC
rnacentral:lncRNA from 1 species